rnacentral:rRNA from 1 species
CCAGACUCCUACGGGAGGCAGCAGUAGGGAAUCUUCGGCAAUGGGCGAAAGCCUGACCGAGCAACGCCGCGUGAAUGAAGAAGGCCUUCGGGUUGUAAAAUUCUGUUAUAAGGGAAGAAAGGUGAUAGGAGGAAAUGACUAUCAAUUGACGGUACCUUAUGAGAAAGCCCCGGCUAACUACGUGCCAGCAGCCGCGGUAAUACGUAGGGGGCAAGCGUUAUCCGGAUUUACUGGGUGUAAAGGGGGCGCAGACGGCGAUGCAAGCCAGGAGUGAAAGCCCGGGGCCCAACCCCGGGACUGCUCUUGGAACUGCGUGGCUGGAGUGCAGGAGGGGCAGGCGGAAUUCCUGGUGUAGCGGUGAAAUGCGUAGAUAUCAGGAGGAACACCGGUGGCGAAGGCGGCCUGCUGGACUGCAACUGACGUUGAGGCCCGAAAGCGUGGGGAGCAAACAGGAUUAGAUACCCCGGUAGGC